UGAGGAAUUUUCCGCAAUGGGCGAAAGCCUGACGGAGCAAUGCCGCGUGAAGGAUGAAGGCCCGUGGGUUGUAAACUUCUUUUCUUGGAGACGAAGUUCUGACGGUAUUCAAGGAAUAAGCAUCGGCUAACUCUGUGCCAGCAGCCGCGGUAAUACAGAGGAUGCAAGCGUUAUCCGGAUUUAUUGGGCGUAAAGCGUCCUGAGGUGGCCUGCCAAGUCUUCUGUAAAAGAGUAGGGCUCAACCCUAGAGAUGCGGUGGAAACUAGCAGGCUGGAGUAUGGUAGGGGCAGAGGGAAUUCCCGGUGUAGCGGUGAAAUGCAUAGAUAUCGGGAAGAACACCAAUGGCGAAAGCACUCUGCUGGGCCAAUACUGACACUGAAAGACGAAAGCUAGGGGAGCA
rnacentral:rRNA from 1 species